rnacentral:rRNA from 1 species
AGAGUUUGAUCCUGGCUCAGGAUGAACGCUGGCGGCGUGCCUAAUACAUGCAAGUCGAGCGAACAGAUAAGGAGCUUGCUCCUUUGAAGUUAGCGGCGGACGGGUGAGUAACACGUGGGUAACCUACCUAUAAGACUGGGAUAACUUCGGGAAACCGGAGCUAAUACCGGAUAACAUUUAGAACCGCAUGGUUCUAAAGUGAAAGAUGGUUUUGCUAUCACUUAUAGAUGGACCCGCGCCGUAUUAGCUAGUUGGUAAGGUAACGGCUUACCAAGGCGACGAUACGUAGCCGACCUGAGAGGGUGAUCGGCCACACUGGAACUGAGACACGGUCCAGACUCCUACGGGAGGCAGCAGUAGGGAAUCUUCCGCAAUGGGCGAAAGCCUGACGGAGCAACGCCGCGUGAGUGAUGAAGGGUUUCGGCUCGUAAAACUCUGUUAUUAGGGAAGAACAAAUGUGUAAGUAACUGUGCACAUCUUGACGGUACCUAAUCAGAAAGCCACGGCUAACUACGUA